UUCCUGUUGAGCUCAGUUUGUGUUUGUCUGAUUUAAUUGGCAGGGGCUGUUUUUCUCUUGAUGACCUUAAUUAUGCCAUCCAAAACUUUCCAUACAGGUUUAAAGACAAAACCAACCGUCCACAGAAAAUACAAGAAAGGUUUAAAACAACUGGCUCAAUUGGAGGUUUUCUUCUGGUUGAACCUGAAGAUUUGAACCACUACGAACCAUUAUAUUGCUACACCAUUCAAGGAAGACAGCUGGUCACAGCAAAAGCCUUUUUGCUUCAUUAAGAAUGUUGCUCAGAGUUGUUUUGGCACCAGAUGACAUCAGGAGGCUGUUGAUAGAAGAAAUCCCAGAGACUCUGGAGGGCUUCAAGUUGAUUCUGAGGACUAAGCUAAAUCUGGGUUAUGAGUUUGUAAUACAGUAUGAAGAUCCGGACUUCCAGAAUGAGUUGAUAAACCUCAACUGUCCCACAGAAUUGCCCAAGGAUAAAGCAACCCUCAAAAUAAUCCAGAAGAUGCCACCUGACCAACACUUGGUGACAGUUAGUGACAGCAGUGCCCUUGACACUG